rnacentral:rRNA from 1 species
UACGUAGGGGGCUAGCGUUGUCCGGAUUUAUUGGGCGUAAAGAGCGUGUAGGCGGCCAGGUAGGUCUGCUGUGAAAACUCGAGGCUCAACCUCGAGAGGUCGGUGGAAACCGUCUGGCUAGAGUCCGGAAGAGGAGAGUGGAAUUCCCGGUGUAGCGGUGAAAUGCGCAGAUAUCGGGAAGAACACCCGUGGCGAAGGCGGCUCUCUGGGACGGUACUGACGCUGAGACGCGAAAGCGUGGGGAGCGAACAGG